UCAGUAAGUAGAGAGGCCCACACUAGAAUCUCACGGCGACUCAUCACUUCCAUGGACGCCUCUCUUGUCUCCGCCGAUACCUUCAACGGCAAUGCGGGGGAGCAGAUUGCUCCUCCGCUGCAACCACCAGGCACGGAUAUGACCGGUAUAUGUUUCAGGGAUCAGCUCUGGAUCAACUCGUACCCUCUAGACCGUAACUACGUCUUCGACUACUUCGCCUUGUCUCCCUUCUACGAUAUCACCUGCAACAACGAGAUUCUUCGUCGUAGAUCCGUUCACCCUCUCGAUCACUCUCAGCUCUCGAAGAUGACAGGAUUAGAGUAUGUGAUCAGUGAUGCUACUGAGCCAAACUUUUUCGUGUUUCGUAAGCAGAAGAGAGAUGGUCCUGAGAAAGUCACACCGAUGCUGACGUAUUAUAUCUUGGACGGUACUAUAUACCAAGCUCCUCAGCUUUGUACUGUCUUUGCAGCUCGUGUUGGUCGGGCUGUUUUUAAUAUAUCCAACGCUUUCUCGGUUGCUGCAUCCAAGUUGGAGACCAUUAGGCAGGUUGAUGCUAAAAGCCAGAACGAACCUUCUGAGUCAAAGCCUGCUAGUGAGACGGUUGAUCUUAAGGAAGUGAAGCGGGUCGAUUUGAUUCUUAAGUCUUUAUAUAGCAAGCUACCCCCAGCACCUCCACCACCACCCUUCCCUGAAGGCUAUGUUAGCCAGGAAGCAUUAGGGGAAAAGGAAGAAGAGGUUGGAACACAGGGAGGAGAGUCACAACAGCCUCAAAUUGAUCCUAUUAUCGAUCAAGGUCCUGCUAAAAGAAUGAAGUUCUAAAGCUCAUCAAGAUUGUUUCUUCAUCUUCGCAUCUCAGAUAAAUAGAAUUCUUAGGAGAUGGAAACCAAUCCAUCGAAGUCCAGCGUCCUCAUAUAUGUUCUAGUUCUUGCACUGGUCUUGUCUCCAAUACUCCCAUGUCAAGCAGCUAGUGUGCAUCUAGGAGGUGGAGGGCGUAAGUUGAUGGCACCAUCACCACCACUUCUCAUGUGUCCACACUGUGAGUGUUGCGCACCGGCUGCACCUGGCUUCUGCUGCCCAUGUAGCUGUCCCGGUGGUCCCUAAUGAUUGCGACUUCGCUAUCAGAGGGGAUAAUGUGAAGUGGUUGAUAUCAUUGUAAUAGUUGAAUGUAUGAAUAAGUCAACACGAUCUUUAGUCUGUGUUUCUAAUAAGAAAACUUGUGGCUUCUACUGGUGAGUGUUAAAAGUAUAUAAGUUUGUAAUAUUUAUAUAUGUAUUAAUAAGGAAGUAAAUAGUAAU